rnacentral:rRNA from 1 species
GUCUAUCCUGCUCACUGAAAUGAUAAAUUUUAAAGAGCCGCGGUAAAUUGACUGUGCAAAGGUAGCAUAAUAAUUAGUUUUUUAAUUGAAGGCUUGUAUGAAUGGUUGGACAAGAAUUAAACUGUCUUUUAUUUUUGUAAUUGAAUUUUACUUUUAAGUGAAAAGGCUUAAAUAAUUUUAAGGGACGAUAAGACCCUGUAAAUCUUUAUAAAAUUAAUUUUUAUUAAAAAAAUAUUUAGUGAAAUUAUUAAUAAAAAUAAAAUUAUUGUGCUGGGGUGGUGUUAAUAUUUAAUAAACUGUUAAAAAUUUAAACAAGUUAAUUGUAUAGUAAAAGGUCUUUUUUAAAAAUAAAGAGUUUAAGUUACUUCAGGGAUAACAGCAUAAUUUUUUUUGAGAGUUCUAAUCGAAAAAAAAGUUUGUGACCUCGAUGUUGAAUUAAAAUUUCUUCUUGGUGAAGCAGUUAAGAGAAGAUAGUCUGUUCGACUAUUAAAUUUUUACAUGAUCUG